UUCCGUAGGGUGGACCUGCGGAGGGAUCAUUACCGAGUUAUACAACUCAUCAACCCUGUGAACAUACCUAAACGUUGCCUCGGCGGGAACAGACGGCCCCGUGAAAACGGGCCGCCCCCGCCAGAGGACCCCCUAACUCUGUUUCUAUAAUGUUUCUUCUGAGUAAAACAAGCAAAUAAAUUAAAACUUUCAACAACGGAUCUCUUGGCUCUGGCAUCGAUGAAGAACGCAGCGAAAUGCGAUAAGUAAUGUGAAUUGCAGAAUUCAGUGAAUCAUCGAAUCUUUGAACGCACAUUGCGCCCGCCAGUAUUCUGGCGGGCAUGCCUGUUCGAGCGUCAUUACAACCCUCAGGCCCCCGGGCCUGGCGUUGGGGAUCGGCGGAGGCCCUCCGUGGGCACACGCCGUCCCCCAAAUACAGUGGCGGUCCCGCCGCAGCUUCCAUCGCGUAGUAGCUAACACCUCGCGACUGGAGAGCGGCGCGGCCACGCCGUAAAACCCCCAACUCUUCUGAAGUGACCUCGAAUCAGUAGAAUCCCCCACCA
rnacentral:rRNA from 1 species